GGAAGAUUAGAAUCCUGCCCGAUACAUUACUCAGCUAGGUUGAGGAGAAAAAUACAAACCAUUGACAGCUACAUUGAUAGCUACAAUGAUAGUCUAGAUGUGGUAUGGGACUCCAGAUGGAAGUACUGAAGAUUAAACAGAUGUUGGAAGGUGAAGAGAUGGGAGGGGAGAAUGAUGUACUGUUUAACUUAACAACCUGGAUCUGACUAUGUAGGUCAAGUAUUGACCCCAACCUACUGCAGCCUGGGUUGCACAGAGGAGAACAGACAAACUUUGAGGGGAAGACGGAGGCAAGGGACUGGAUGACCUUGGAGAGACCUUGAGAUCCAAGCAAUAGCACCGUGGCCCUAGCACCCAGCAGUAACAGGAGCUUGCAGGAGUCAAACAUCUGAAGAUGGGACGCCGCCUAAACGUGGCCUGACGAGUGGUGCCAUGUCCUUGCCCAGGAUCCGAACCAGCGAAACCCUGGGCCGCCGUCGCACGAACUUAACCACUAGGCCACGGGGCAUUGGUGGGUUCAUUUGCAACCAUUUAAAAUGCUUAAAAAUUGGAAUUUUUAACAUAAAAAUUGGAAACAUAACAUGUAAACUUUUUG
rnacentral:lncRNA from 1 species